rnacentral:rRNA from 1 species
ACAACUCUCAACAACGGAUGUCUUGGCUCUCGCAACGAUGAAGAACGCAGCGAAAUGCGAUAUGUAGUGUGAUUUGCACUGUACGUGAACCAUCGAAUCUUUGAACGCAUAUUGCACUCGAGGCUUCGGCCGAGAGUAUGCCUGCCUCAGCGUCAGU